rnacentral:lncRNA from 1 species
CUGGCUAACCCUGAAGCCUUCUUUAAUGAAUCCUGCUUGAAGGACUUUUGUCCUUUAACAUCCAUAGCACAUUUGUGGGCAAUUACCAGGUUGGCAGUGCUGCAUUUCAGGACUUGCCAAAUAUGUACUUUCCCCUGUAGGUGUAAACAGCUGAAGGCCAGGAGUGACAGUGUUAGAUAGUAAUAAUAAACAGUGGCCAACUUCUUACUGUGUGCCAGGCACUGGGCCAGACACUUUAUGUAUAAUUUGCCCAACUACCCUAGGAACUGUUCUUAUUUUAUAGGUGAGAAAACAGGCAAAGAGAAGAACUGACCCAGCCACUCAGCCAGCUAAGAGGGCGGUGGGCACCAGGAGGCCGUGAGACGUGGAGCCUCAGACCUGCGCUCCCCACCUCCAGCUUGCUGUGAUGUUCCUUCUCUAACAAUCUGGGUUUUGUUUGUUUGUUUGUUUGUUUUUGCGGUACCGGGGAUUGAACUCAGGACAUCAUGCUUGCCAGGCAGGCGCUUGUGCCACUGAGCUAUAUCCCCAGCCCCUCGCUAAAACGAUCUGUAAACUUGAUAGACAGCGAAUACAGAUCCAACUAUUUGACAACUACUUGGGGUUUCCCCCAAGCACCAAGACCCCUUUAGUCACAUAAUAAUAAUUUAGUAGGCAUGUAAGAAUCAAGCCCUGAACCCACACAACCUCCUGGGACUGGACCUUCCUAACCAGCUCCUUCCUGCAGGGCUCAUCCCUGGGCACCACUGCCCACUUGGCACCCACAGCCCAGGUGGCACACAGGAGGCGACGCCAUCCGGCCUGCUGGGUGAUGAGACACAGGCUUUCUUCCGUCCGGGUGCACAGCCUGUGCGUGGAGAACGUGGAUCUGGACAAUGGAAGCAAGUGCCCCUGCAGAACACAAGAAGAACAAACAACAAAGGCAGCCGUGUCUCCCCGCAGCCUGCACAGCAGGGUUGGAAAGAAACUUUCCCGCAGGAGUCCGGGCUUUUGCAGGAUGGCCGCAGCCCCAGAUACGGUGAAACACAGCCUGGGCGGGCGUGCGCUGAGCUCUCACUCGAGUGGCAAUGUGCUGCCACGCACACACGCACAAUCACAGCGACACACAAACUGCCAGGGUUGGGGCCUGGACGGCAGCCAGCCCCUCGGUCCCGGGCCGUGGCUGUCCUUGGCCCUCUGCGGGGGGGCGGGGCAUCAGCCACCCCAUGCUGGUUCUGCCCUGCUGCACCCGUGAAGAACGUUUGCCCACACGGAGAAAGAUCAGCUUUCAGGAAAUCUACCCCAGGCCCCUUCACUCGGCCGCUCAUGGCCCGCGGGCAGCGCCGCAAAGCCAGGCUGCCCACGGGAAACAAGCUCCCCCAAGAAACCCUCCGUGCCCCCGGGGGCUGGAGCUCCUGGUGCCCUUCCCUCCCUCCGCGUUCCCGCUCUCCUGUGACUGCCCUGACAGGAGGUGGACGCUGGAGAGGGCUUCAAAAUCUGUUAGAGGAAAAAGGCUUUCCUACAAAAGGAAAUAGUUACGCGUCGUUUUAUUGGACUCUGUGCCGGGAAUGCCCCAACCCACUUCCCUGCAGGCUCGCGCGCCGGGGUGCUAAGAGCUGUCUGCUGUUGGCCCUGUGCUCAGCUUUUGUGUCUUGUCUCAAGUUUAAAUAUUGUAGCUGA